AGAGUUUGAUUCUGGCUCAGGAUGAACGCUGGCGGCGUGCCUAACACAUGCAAGUCGAGCGAAGCGCUUUACUUGAAUUCUUCGGAAGGAAAGUAUUGUGACUGAGCGGCGGACGGGUGAGUAACGCGUGGGUAACCUGCCUCAUACAGGGGGAUAACAGUUAGAAAUGACUGCUAAUACCGCAUAAGACCACAGCACCGCAUGGUGCGGGGGUAAAAACUCCGGUGGUAUGAGAUGGACCCGCGUCUGAUUAGCUAGUUGGUAAGGUAAGGGCUUACCAAGGCGACGAUCAGUAGCCGACCUGAGAGGGUGAUCGGCCACAUUGGGACUGAGACACGGCCCAAACUCCUACGGGAGGCAGCAGUGGGGAAUAUUCCACAAUGGGGGAAACCCUGAUGCAGCGACGCCGCGUGAGUGAAGAAGUAUUUCGGUAUGUAAAGCUCUAUCAGCAGGGAAGAAAAUGACGGUACCUGACUAAGAAGCCCCGGCUAACUACGUGCCAGCAGCCCCGGUAAUACGUAGGGGGCAAGCGUUAUCCGGAUUUACUGGGUGUAAAGGGAGCGUAGACGGCUGUGCAAGUCUGAUGUGAAAGGCAGGGGCUCAACUCCUGGACUGCAUUGGAAACUGUGUAGCUUGAGUGCCGGAGAGGUAAGCGGAAUUCCUAGUGUAGCGGUGAAAUGCGUAGAUAUUAGGAGGAACACCAGUGGCGAAGGCGGCUUACUGGACGGUAACUGACGUUGAGGCUCGAAAGCGUGGGGAGCAAACAGGAUUAGAUACCCUGGUAGUCCACGCCGUAAACAAUGAAUACUAGGUGUCGGGGGACCCGGUCCUUUCGGUGCCCCAGCAAACGCAGUAAGUAUUCCACCGGGGGAGUACGUUGCCAGAAUGAAACUCAAAGGAAUUGACGGGGACCCCGCACAAGCGGUGGAGCAUGUGGUUAAUUUGAAGCAACGCGAAGAACCUUACCAAGUCUUGACAUCCUGCUGACCGGUGAGUAAUGUCAUCUCUCCUUCGGGACAGCAGAGACAGGUGGUGCAUGGUUGUCGUCAGCUCGUGUCGUGAGAUGUUGGGUUAAGUCCCGCAACGAGCGCAACCCUUAUUGUCAGUAGCCAGCAUUUCGGAUGGGCACUCUGAUGAGACUGCCAGGGAUAACCUGGAGGAAGGUGGGGAUGACGUCAAAUCAUCAUGCCCCUUAUGACUUGGGCUACACACGUGCUACAAUGGCGUAAACAAAGGGAAGCGAGCCCGCGAGGGGGAGCAAAUCCCAAAAAUAACGUCCCAGUUCGGAUUGUAGUCUGCAACCCGACUACAUGAAGCUGGAAUCGCUAGUAAUCGCGGAUCAGCAUGCCGCGGUGAAUAAGAUCCCGGGUCUUGCACU
rnacentral:rRNA from 1 species